rnacentral:rRNA from 1 species
GAUAAGGUUAAGUGAAUAAGGGCGCACGGUGGAUGCCUUGGCACUAGGAGCCGAUGAAGGACGGGACUAACACCGAUAUGCUUUGGGGAGCUGUAAGUAAGCUAUGAUCCAGAGAUUUCCGAAUGGGGGAACCCAAUAUCUUUUAUAGGAUAUUACUUUUCAGUGAAUACAUAGCUGAUUAGAGGUAGACGCAGAGAACUGAAACAUCUUAGUACCUGCAGGAAGAGAAAGAAAAUUCGAUUCCCUGAGUAGCGGCGAGCGAAACGGGAAAAGCCCAAACCAACAAGCUU